rnacentral:tRNA from 1 species
UCCCUCUUAGCUCAGUGGUAGAGCGUGUCACUCGUAUUUAGGGAUGAUGACAAGGUCAGUCGUUCAAUCCGGCUAGCGGGAA